ACGGAAGGCAGCAGUGGGGAAUAUUGGACAAUGGGGGAGACCCUGAUCCAGCGACGCCGCGUGAGUGAAGAAGUAUUUCGGUAUGUAAAGCUCUAUCAGCAGGGAAGAAAAUGACGGUACUUGACUAAGAAGCUCCGGCUAACUACGUGCCAGCAGCCGCGGUAAUACGUAUGGAGCAAGCGUUAUCCGGAUUUACUGGGUGUAAAGGGAGCGUAGACGGCAAGGCAAGUCAGAAGUGAAAGCCCGGGGCUCAACCCCGGAACUGCUUUUGAGACUGUAUAGCUAGAGUGCAGGAGAGGUAAGUGGAAUUCCUAGUGUAGCGGUGAAAUGCGUAGAUAUUAGGAGGAACACCAGUGGCGAAGGCGGCUUGCUGGACGGUAACUGACGUUGAGGCUCGAAAGCGUGGGGAGCAAACAGGAUUAGAUACCCUGGUA
rnacentral:rRNA from 1 species